rnacentral:miRNA from 1 species
UCUGGGUGAAAAACAUAUC